UUCUGAACCAGUGGCUGGUUCUUCAGGCAUCUUGGAACCUGAAGUAUGGUGGAGUAUUUACUCCAGGAAACCAGACUAACUGUUUUUCAUCUACAGGUUACUCUGGAAGAACUUCCUAGGCUCAAACAAAACCCCAAAUUACGUACGGACCAGGGGAAGGACACUCAGUUUUGUUGGCUUCAUCCUGUGACUCCCUGCCUGUUAGAGGUCUCCUGGGAGUGGUAGAGGAAAUGAUGUAAACUUAAUGAAGAAUGCAAAGGCUCACUGAAGAACAGUUUUUAAUUUCCCAUGAACUGUGUAGCCUUUUUUAAGGAUGACAGCUUCUUUCACCCAAGCCUUUCCCCUCUCAAACUUCGGUAAAAUUUAUUUAGAGUGUGUUUUUCCCACUGAAACAUCAUCCGUGAGAGUACAGAUGUCACAGAAGGAGGACUUACUAAUACAGGUUAACUUUGAACAUUGAAGAAUUAUGCUCUGUGUUUGGGUAGGUGAUCUUCAUCUAUUGUUCUGUAAAGCUAUUCUAAUUGUGCAAUACAUGGACAGUAAACAUGAGAAACUUUAGAUCCUCUUUCCCCUGCACCAUGGAUAUAGAACAUUGAACCAUUUUACUGAACAUAUAAUGCUUUUUUUUUUUUUUUCUAAUAAACAGAAACAAAACUCUUGAUUUUAAUAGUGUUUGCAUAUGCAAUGAGAGUCUCUACAUAAUAAAGCCAAAGCUUAGAUCUCCAUGGACUUGAUAUGCUUUAGUUAGUCAUUCUCUGAAUAUCUUAUCAUGUUUCUGUAUUGUAAACCCAAGGAGGGUAGAGUGUGAACAGAGGCACCAAACUUUACAACAAUUAUGGAGGGGAGUGUGUGGGAUAAAAGUCAAAUCAACUGAAUGUUCUAAAUAAACUUGAAAAAAAUAGUUUAAAUCCCUAUUUUAAAAGGAAGGUUUUAUUUUCCACACAUAAAUAAUACCAGACUGAAUGGGAAUCAAAAAUGCUAUUUUUUUCAAAAUUUUGACGAAUUAUUUUUUCAUUAAAAAUUUUCCUGUUCCUGUCAGCUGUGAGCACCUCUGUUGAUGCAACACUGAACUGAUGUAAAAAAGUAAAAAAAGGGUAAAAAUCAUCUGAGGAUCUUCACCAAUUUGGAAGAUCAGUCCCUGUAGUACUAGUUUAUUAAUAUUUUCCUUCCUGAUUGCAUCUUGUAUAUUUUGAAAUUGAAAAACAUUUUCCCUUUGGCAAUUUUCUUAUUUCAUGUCUUUAAAUGUAAAAAAUCUUGAUGUACAUGUAGUAGCUAAAAGAUUACUGCAUCCUGUAUAUCACUUAAAAUUAAUUAGACAUCAAGUCUCAAUUAACUGUACUUAAGUUGUCCAAUUCAUUUUCUCUGGAAAGGAACCAAAAUGUUUAUGUAAGUUGCAUGUAGGUCAUUGUUUCUGCUUUGGUUGCAGACUCAGCUAAUGCAAACUGUCUCUGAUCUCAAACUUCAUUCAGUCUUAGCAUAAUUUAGUAAUUUGUUGUCUAACAGACUGUGCACUGUAACUAGAACUUUUAUCUCCUUACAAAUAAUUUUAAAGUACUUUACUGACCAUUUUAUGCCCCUAAUGCUAAUCUCUGAUUUCCACUGAGUUGCUCAUGGUUGGAAAUAAAAAAAAAAAAAAAGAAAAGAACAAAUAUGUUCUCACUGCACUAGAUAAAAAAUGUAAAUAGCUAAAGGAAUCAACAGGUAGAAAGCUGAUUGGUUUUCAAACAUCUCUGUUAAGUACAAGGUGUAGAGAAAAACAAGAAGGGAAAAAUAAUGCAUAAUCUCUUUCUUUUAAAACUCCUUCCUUCCAAUUAUUUUCUUGUAACCACUUCCCUUUUUCCCUUAGUUACAGAAACACGGACUAAUAUAAAGACAUAUAAUCUAUUUUAGGGUUUUAUAAAAAAAAAAAAAAAAAAAAAAGGCAGCUGAACUGCAAAAUUGUAUGAUAGCAGUUAACUUUAUAAAUUAAUAUGUAUCACAUAAUAUGUCAUUAAUGUGUAACCCUGAAGCAGAGAAUGUUUGCAGCAACCACCAGUAGUCAUGGUUUGUAAUUACUGUUUCGAGAAACAGAUGAGCUUGUCUGUAUUACAGGUCUGAUGACUGAUUAAUGGGGAUUUCUCACAUACUGGGUAAUCACCUGGCUACCAAGAAAGUGAAAAACAUUACUCUGUCACCCUGUGUUUAAAAAUAAGAAUUUGGCCCAAUUCCAUUUAAAAGUAUGUUUGUUCCAAUAUGAAAUAAAUGUAGAUCCUAAAGCCUUGAAAGGUGGUUUGUCUUUUUGUCAACUCUAAACAAAUUAUUCAAAAUAUUUAACAAGCAUUUCCUUGGGCUCAAAGAUGUCGGCCUCUCCCCUCACUUCUUUUACUCAUGCUGUUCUCUGGAGAUAAUGUAGCAGCUGCUGGGGAAAAUUGAGACUUAGCCUGUUUUCCAAUAUAUGUGUGGUGUUAUAAUGACUUUUUUUUUCCUGAUAUCUCUUUCAUGAAGAAUUGUUUAGCAAUUUCCUAGACUAAAAGCUUUAUGGUUAAACACAUCCAUUAAGAUAUUUAUAUUUUGUCAUUUCAGAGGAGGAACUUUUCUUCAUCUUCUGUAGGAAGUCCAACUCAGUUUAUUUUGCCUAAGAACUCUUUCC
rnacentral:lncRNA from 1 species